UGAGAUUUAGUUGUUUCCCAUUUGCCAAAGUAUUGUCUUCUUCAUCAAUGAAUCCCUUCUUCUAGAUCUCCAUAACCAUUAAUUGUUGCUGCAGGAACAACUUUCCAACAAACAGAAGCAGAAGCAUCACCCUAUGAUAAUUAAACCAAAUGAAUUUAAACAUAAAAAUUCCACACUCCUUGUUCUAAUUUCAUUUUUUUCGCAGAUCCAUUCUCUAAUCAUCUUAUAACUUCAAACACAAAAAUUCAACCCAUCAAAUCUCAUAUAUGUUCUCUUCAUUCAAAUCGAUUUCAGAUUUUCACUUCGUUUUCCAAUCACACUUCAAUUUCGUUUCGUACAUAAUCACUGUUGUUUUUAAUGUUUCAAUUCAUCCAAAUCGAUUCCACUUAUUUUUCCAGUUUUUUUAUCUAUUUAAUUUUUUCAAUUGAAGGUUGUAUUUCAAGGUUUUGGGAACACCAGAUAUGUUUUGUAUGCUGGGUAUGGGUUGGAUGGUUCUCAUGAGUUUGAAGAUUUGAGUGUUAAUGAGAAUGAUUUUUUUUUAGGACCAAACAAUUGAUGAUGAUAAAUUGUUUUUCAGAUCUAGAUUUUGAGGAAGAACACAUAAUCAUGAAGAUCAAAGUUUUGGGGAAGAACACAUGAAAAAUUGAUGAAAUGAUAAUUGAUGAGAGCUUGCACGUGCCUUCUCUAUUUUUCUUCCAAUUUUUUUUUUUUUUUUAAUUUCGUUUUAUUAACUUGUGGAAUUUCCAAUUAAAUUUUUUUUUUUAAAAUACACAGGUGGCAUGCCACAUAUGGUUGACUGGGUCAAAAUUGAGCUUUUGUAAAAUGGGGUAAACAUGGGGGUCACUUUUGCCAUUUUUUUUAAUAGGGGACCAAAAUUGCUACUUUUGCAAACUUAGAGGGUGAAAAGACAUCAAUUUAAAGGAGCUCGUGUGGAGCCUGAAUUCCACUUGCUGUGUAUAAGAGAUGUGAUGCUCUACUUUCCUUAAGAUGAAGAUGCGCAAGUUAGAAGCAGCUGCACAGUAUCAAAGAAAAGGACCAGACAAAGGAGAAGCAAAGAAUUAGUUGAAUCCGACUGAACAAGUAAAUGAGUCACAUGGCUUAAUGGCAUCUGUUAUGUACCUUUCUACAUUAGUAAUUGAAGAGAAUUCAUUAUUAUAGCAAAGAAUCUGUUAUGUCAUUUUCCAUCAAAAAUAUAUUAAAAACCAAAAGAGAGGGGGAACAAAACUAAAACCCUCAAUACAUCAAGAAAAUCUAUAGUUAGUCAUACCUAGCCUAUUUCUAUUGAAUUCUGAACCAAUUUGGCUAGGAACAUGAUCCCACCAGGCAUGAGUUUGUAAAGAGAUUCCAAUGUUGGCUAAUGUAUCAGCACAACAAUUUCCUUCUCUAUACACAUGAGUGACAAAAAAAUUCAUUGAAGAAGCCUUGAUCUUGCAAUUUUUCCAUUUGUUUCUUAUUUGCCAAGGAACUAUCUUAGAUGAUUUGAAAGCUAAAGUAACCAACACUGAGUCUGUUUCUAACCAGAGGUUGUUCCAUCCCUUUUGAGCUGCUAUUUCAAUUACUAUCAUAGCCCCUUGAAGUUCAGCAGUUAGAGAGUUUGUAAUGCCUAAGUUGAAAGCAAAUGCACCAAUGAAAUCAGCAUUUGAAUCCCUGAAGAUCCCCUCACAAGCUGAAGGACCAGGAUUGCCAUUAGAUGCUCCAUCAAUGUUACAUUUAAGCCAAUGCAUUAUGGGAGGUUGCCACAGAACUUCUUUGAUGAUUGGAGCAUUGCCAAAAUUCAUUUUAACUGAGAAGGCCCUUAGGAUCACAAAAUCUAUCAUGGUAGAGUUUGCUUUAAGAUUAGAGCAGUUGCCCGAUAGAGAUGUGCCAGCAAUAAUGAGAUUGAUAGCUGAUCUGACAUGCAAAUUUUUUUCAGUAAAUCUUCUUUUAUUCCUGCAAUACCAGAUAACAUUCAAACAGUAGGUUAUGGCUGCAAGGACAAUCAAUUUGCAGAGGUGUGACCAGCCUCUAUUGCAUAUUUCCACUAUAUCCAAGAUUGAAGAGAAGUUGCAAUGGAUUUUUGUAAUUGAACUCAACCAGUUCCAAAUACUUCUGGCAAAGGUGCAAUCUAUGAAUAAAUGAUACAAUGUUUCCUCAGAUCUGUUGCAAAGGCUACACAUAGAUGGGAAAUGACAUCCUCUAACUGCAAGAUUGUCAUCUGUUGGUAGUUUAUUCAGCAAGCAUCUCCAUAGCAUCAAAGUUUUUGAAGGAGGGAUACUCUGAUUCCAAAUAAGCUUGGCCCAAGAUAUAUUGUUGUUUGAUGGAGAGUGAUACAGAUAAGCAUCCUUAAAUGCUAGCUCUCCAUUUUGAGUAAGUUUCCAAACAAGUCUGUCUUCCUUCUCAGUCAAAGGAAUAGUAACUUUGUUUAGGAUUGUAUGAAGGUUUGGAAAUAUUUGAAGCACACAAUCAGGAACAUACCAUUCAUGGUUUACUAUGAACUUAUCCACUGUUGAAGUUAAAGAGUUAUGCAGAUUUUCAGGGAUUUGCAAAGCUUCCACCAAUGGCUCACCACACCAAUUGUCCAUCCAAAAGUUGAUAUCUUUCCCAUUGCCAAGGUUCCAGAAAGAGUUAAUUUGAAUGAUCGAUCUAUACUACACACACUAUAUUGUAUAUUUAGCUAGGGUUAUUUUUGAGUUAGCAUUAUAAUGAUGCGACACUUUUAGAAAAGCUUUUCUUAAACAAGAAAUAUACUUAUGUGUCACCUCUAAAAAAACCUUUUCAUCC